GGGGGGAAGGGGGGGGGGGGGCCGGGGGUGCGUGCAGUGCCCGCUGCGGACUCUGGACGCCUCUUCCCCCGCAGUGCUUCCGCUUCUGUGGGACUUGGCCUGCCCCGACUGGCCGAGAUCAGCACGCUGGCCAAAACAACUGGAUUUUCCAAGUGAUAAGGUAACAGUGACAAAAACAGAUCUUAAGCAUCCAGGAAGGAUUUAUUGACUGUAUCGGCAUUAUCAGGGAAUGUGAAGCACCAGGAUAAAAAAACAGGAAGAAAUAAAAUAUGUAGACCUAAUUUACAGAGUGUUCUGCAGACAAGUCAGAGGUUGAAAUGAAACAAGAGAGUUCCUGAACAUCAAAAACUCAAAUGAAUGUUUGAAUAUUGUAUAAAUUGAUGAAUAUGCAUGUAACCGUAUAUAGGGAACAUGUUUGUAAGCUACCUCUGUGCUCUUUGGCCAUGCACCAAAAGCACCCUAGUGCUGGAUUAUUUUGUGCUUUUAUCCUUUAUUAAACUUUUUAAAAUUUUAAA